rnacentral:rRNA from 1 species
GGCUGAGUAACACGUGGAGAACCUGCCCCCUCCCCCGGGAUAGCCGCCCGAAAGGACGGGUAAUACCGGAUACCCCGGGGUGCCGCAUGGCACCCCGGCUAAAGCCCCGACGGGAGGGGAUGGCUCCGCGGCCCAUCAGGUAGACGGCGGGGUGACGGCCCACCGUGCCGACAACGGGUAGCCGGGUUGAGAGACCGACCGGCCAGAUUGGGACUGAGACACGGCCCAGACUCCUACGGGAGGCAGCAGUGGGGAAUCUUGCGCAAUGGGGGGAACCCUGACGCAGCGACGCCGCGUGCGGGACGGAGGCCUUCGGGUCGUAAACCGCUUUCAGCAGGGAAGAGUCAAGACUGUACCUGCAGAAGAAGCCCCGGCUAACUACGUGCCAGCAGCCGCGGUAAUACGUAGGGGGCGAGCGUUAUCCGGAUUCAUUGGGCGUAAAGCGCGCGUAGGCGGCCCGGCAGGCCGGGGGUCGAAGCGGGGGGCUCAACCCCCCGAAGCCCCCGGAACCUCCGCGGCUUGGGUCCGGUAGGGGAGGGUGGAACACCCGGUGUAGCGGUGGAAUGCGCAGAUAUCGGGUGGAACACCGGUGGCGAAGGCGGCCCUCUGGGCCGAGACCGACGCUGAGGCGCGAAAGCUGGGGGAGCGAACAGGAUUAGAUACCCUGGUAGUCCCAGCCGUAAACGAUGGACGCUAGGUGUGGGGGGACG